rnacentral:rRNA from 1 species
ACAGCAGCAGCCGCGGGAAUACGAAGGGGGCUAGCGUUGCUCGGAAUGGCUGGGCGUAAAGGGCGCGUAGGCGGUUUGUACAGUCAGAUGUGAAAUUCCUGGGCUCAACCUGGGGACUGCAUUUGAUACGUACGGACUUGAGUGGAGAAGAGGGUCGUGGAAUUUCCAGUGUAGAGGUGAAAUUCGUAGAUAUUGGAAAGAACACCGGUGGCGAGGGCGGCGACCUGGUCUUUAACUGACGCUGAGGCGCGAAAGCGUGGGGAGCAAACAGGAUUAGAUACCCGCGUAGUCCCUGUCUCUUAUAC